rnacentral:misc_RNA from 1 species
GGGCUGUCAGUGUCUGAAAUGUACAGGAGAAAUGAUCAGAGCAACUUGAUUGCCCAAUAUGAUGGCCAGUUGAUGGAUGAAGAAGAACUAAAUUUGAUGCGUGCCGAGCCAGUUUGGCAGGGCUUUGUUACUCAAACAAAUGAACUUGUCAUGUUGGGGGAUGGUAAAGUCCUGAAUGAGUGUGGAAGGCCUCGGCCGGAUGAUAUUUGCAUGGACGAUGACCAACACGGUUCAGUUCGGUCUAUUGGUGUGGGGAUUAACAGUGAUACUGCUGAUUUUGGAAGCGAAGUGCGUGAAAGUUUGAUUGGAGGGAGUAGUGAGGGGGACCUAGAGUACUUCCAUGAUCAUGAUACCAGUAUUGGUGGGUCCAGACACCUACCACCCAUUUCAGAUAAGCCUUAUUCAGAGAGAUCAAAGAGAGAAAAGAAAGCAG